GACAGAGGGUGCAAACGUUGCUCGGAAUUACUGGGCGUAAAGCGCGUGUAGGCGGACUGGUGUGUCGGAUGUGAAAUCCCCAGGCUCAACCUGGGAACUGCAUUCGAAACUGCCAGCCUUGAGUGGUGGAGAGGGAAGUGGAAUUCCUGGUGUAGAGGUGAAAAUUCGUAGAUAUCAGGAGGAACACCAGUGGCGAAGGCGGCUUCCUGGACACCAACUGACGCUGAGACGCGAAAGCGUGGGGGAGCAAACAGG
rnacentral:rRNA from 1 species